AUGAAUUAUAUUGAGUAUAGCGUUCCUUCACCAAAUAAAUUCCCAUGUCUUAUAAUUUCUUUUGACAGUGACCUAGCGCACCGCAUUGCUCCAGGUCAGUGGACAAUAAAGUUCGGCAAAGACGUCAAGGGUUUGCCUCACCAAACCACGGGUAAUGACUGCGGUGUCUUCAUACUGAUGUAUGCACUCAACUUCAGCACAGAUGCUCCACUUUGGUUUACCAAGGUCAGUAUUUAUCCUCUGAGUUAGUAUUUCAGGGGGAAGAGGGGGCUAACAUUAAGUAGACAAAUGAUGAGGUUCCAUUAAUUUUCAACUUUAUUAUUGUUACAUUUUCUUUUAUC